CCCUUAGAUGUCCUGGGCUGCACGCGCGCUACACUGAUGUGUCCAGUAAGCACCUAACCUCUUCCGAAAGGAACGGGUAACCUUUGCAAAGCACAUAGUGAUGGGGAUAGAUUAUUGCAAUUAUUAGUCUUGAACGAGGAAUUCCUAGUAAGCACAAGUCAUCAGCUUGUGUUGAUUACGUCCCUGCCCUUUGUACACACCGCCCGUCGCUCCUACCGAUUGAAUGUUCCGGUGAGCUCUUCGGACUGCGCGGUCUGCAGUUUCUGCGUUCCGUGCGGAAAGUUGCGCAAACCUUAACAUUUAGAGGAAGGAGAAGUCGUAACA
rnacentral:rRNA from 1 species